rnacentral:rRNA from 1 species
CGGGAAUCUUCCGCAAUGGACGAAAGUCUGACGGAGCAACGCCGCGUGAGCGAAGAAGGUCUUCGGAUCGUAAAGCUCUGUUGUCAGGGAAGAACAAGUACCGUUCGAUAAGGGCGGUACCUUGACGGUACCUGACGAGAAAGCCCCGGCUAACUACGUGCCAGCAGCCGCGGUAAUACGUAGGGGGCGAGCGUUGUCCGGAAUCAUUGGGCGUAAAGCGCGCGCAGGCGGUCCUUUAAGUCUGAUGUGAAAUCUUGCGGCUUAACCGCAAGCGGUCAUUGGAAACUGGAGGACUUGAGUGCAGGAGAGGGAAGCGGAAUUCCAUGUGUAGCGGUGAAAUGCGUAGAGAUAUGGAGGAACACCAGUGGCGAAGGCGGCUCUCUGGCCUGUAACUGACGCUGAGGCGCGAAAGCGUGGGGAGCAAAC